UAUGAAUAAAAACUAGUAAGAAUACAGAAAAGAAUUUUAUAUGUACUAAAUUUUGUCAAUAAAUGUAAAUUUGAAUGUUUAUCAAUUUUUUAAGUAUAUUGAAAGUGCAGUAUAAAAUUUUUUGUAUUGCUUUUUAUAACAUGACAUCUAUACAAGAAGCAAAUUUUGUUUAUAAUCUUUGAAAUUGAAAGAUUGCAUGAUCAAUUGUUGCACUGGGACACAUUUUAAAAUUACAAAACAAUUUUACGUCCCUGUAUUCUUAGAUUAAUGUUUUUAUUCAGAAAAAAUGAAUGGUUACAUCAAGGAAUUGUAUAUUUAAAUAUACAAUUCCUUGGUUACAUUUACACUUUAUUAUUAAAAAAAACUUACAUUCUUUAAGCUUUAAUAAAUGUGUGGUAAAUGAUUGCCAAUUAGACAAGGCUUGCUCAUUGAAUUAAGGUUAAACAUUUUACUUUUGUAUAGAUAUAUAUAUAUAUUCUUUUACACAAUGAAAUCACAGUCAUAAUUGAAAUUAUAUUUAUUAUAUUUUAUCUGGGACUAUUAUACUAAGUUAGUAUAAUAGUCCCAGAUUUUAUAAAUAUAUAUAUUAAAUAGUUGUAAGGGUUUAAUUAACUAACAGCUCCAUGUGGAGGUGCUCCUAUGUAAAGGAUGCUUAUUAACAAAAUAAUUUGUUAUAUGUUCCAAGGAUUUGUAUAGUAGGAAUGGGGGAACUAGCAGGUACCUAUUUUUCACUUUUCACAUGGAGAAAUACUUUGAACAUCAGAUCAGGACAAUAUCCGUGAAUCUCUCGUCCGGAGUCGGGUUUUUUAAAACGCUUGAAAGAUACAGAUUAUGACGCGUCUUAAAGAGAAGAACGCCGUCAGCCGAUUGUCAACAACAGUACUUGUUUCAGUUAAUUUAACAAGACAAACAAUACCAAGGAGCUAUGAAUCAAUGAAUACUCGAGGAUGUACUACAGGAACUGUAGGAAGUAUUCAAAGAGUCUGAUUGCUAAGUAUGCAUUACAGGAUUUUAUCAUUGGAGCAACAUCUUAGGAGGAGAAGUGCAAAUGUAUGAAGGAAUCCUUGGGUACAAAUAGCAAUUAUAUGCAGAAGAGGACUCUUAAACAUUAUUAACAGACAUGUAGUCAUAGUAGUGGUGUUUUCAAGAAACGUAAACCAACUGGAAUUAACAAUUGUGUAUAUUUUUUCAACCACAAGUACUUUCAGAAUAUAAUACAAUUCAAAUUCAAAUUAUUGUGUCAACAUACAAGUUACAGUAAAAAAAUGAAAAUG